UACGUAGGGUGCAAGCGUUGUCCGGAAUUAUUGGGCGUAAAGAGCUCGUAGGCGGUUUGUCGCGUCUGCCGUGAAAGUCCGGGGCUCAACUCCGGAUCUGCGGUGGGUACGGGCAGACUAGAGUGAUGUAGGGGGAGACUGGAAUUCCUGGUGUAGCGGUGAAAUGCGCAGAUAUCAGGAGGAACACCGAUGGCGAAGGCAGGUCUCUGGGCAUUAACUGACGCUGAGGAGCGAAAGCAUGGGGGAGCGAACAGG
rnacentral:rRNA from 1 species